AGCCUACGGGGCGCAGCAGUGAGGAAUAUUGGUCAAUGGCCGGAAGGCUGAACCAGCCAAGCCGCGUGAGGGAGGAAGGCGCAGAGCGUCGCAGACCUCUUUUGCCGGGGGACAAAAGGCCGGACGGGUCCGGUUCUGAGGGUACCCGGAGAAAAAGCAUCGGCUAACUCCGUGCCAGCAGCCGCGGUAAUACGGAGGAUGCGAGCGUUAUCCGGAUUUAUUGGGUUUAAAGGGUGCGUAGGCGGAAUGCCAAGUCAGCGGUAAAAUCGCGGGGCUCAACCUCGCUCCGCCGCUGAAACUGGCGU
rnacentral:rRNA from 1 species